CCUACGGGAGGCAGCAGUGGGGAAUAUUGCACAAUGGGGGGAACCCUGAUGCAGCGACGCCGCGUGAAGGACGAAGUAUUUCGGUACGUAAAGCUCUAUCAGCAGGGAAGAAAAUGACGGUACCUGACUAAGAAGCCCCGGCUAACUACGUGCCAGCAGCCGCGGUAAUACGUAGGGGGCAAGCGUUAUCCGGAUUUACUGGGUGUAAAGGGAGCGUAGACGGAAUUGCAAGUCUGAUGUGAAAAUCCGGGGCCCAACCCCGGAAGUGCAUUGGAAACUGUAUUUCUAGAGUGUCGGAGAGGCAA
rnacentral:rRNA from 1 species